GCUGGUAGUUCAGUGAGUACAGCAUGAGACUUUUAAUCUCGGGGUUCUGGGUUCGAGCACCACAUUGAGCA